GAUGAUGAUAUUGCUGUGAUUCUUGUUGACAACAGUACUAGCAUGUGCAAAGCUGGAUUCAGAGGUAACAACAUUGCCCAGGCCAUCUUCUCCCACAUCAUGGGCCACCCUAGGCAUCAGGACAUGAGGUUGAACUUGGGCCAGAAGAACGCCUACAUGCAUAAUGAGGCCCAGAGUAAGAGAAGCAUGCUAACCCUGAAGUACUCUAUUGAUCAUGGUAUUGUCCAACUGGAACAUUAUGAAGAAGAUCUAGCUCCAUGCCUUUAUACCAAGUUGUGUGUGACUUCUGAGGAGUACCCUGUGCAGUUCAUGGAGCCCCACUAGACCUCAUGGCCAACUGUGUAAGGAUGACCCAGAUUAUAUUUGAGCCCUUCAAUACCCUAAUUAUGUACAUAGUCAUCCAGGCUGUGCUGUCCCUGUAUGCCUCUGGUCAUACCAUUGGCAUUGUGAUGAACUCCAGAGAUAGAGUCACCAACACUGUAUACAUCUAUGAGAGCUAGGUCUCCCUCACACCAUCCUUUGUCUGGACUUGGCUGGGUAGGACCUGACAUACACCUCAUGAAGAUCCUGACUGACUGUGGCUAAAGCCUCACAAGCACAGUCAAGAGGGAAAUCAUGAGUGACAUCAAAGAGAUGCUGUGGUGUAUCAUUUUAUUUUCUUUUGGUGCUUUUGACUUGGGAUUUUAAAACUGGAAUGGUAAAACAGUAGUCAGUUGUAGCAAGCAUCCCCAAAAGAUCUACAAUAUGGCUGAGGACUUUGCUUGUACAUUGUUUUUCAUGUGUUUUGUUUUGUUUGUUUAAUAGUCAGUCUGAGUAUCAAUGAGAUAUAUGGCUAUAGGAAGUCCUGCAUCCUCACAAAAGCCACCUCCACUCCUUAGAGGCAGAUAGCCAAGUGUUCACCCUGACUCUACACCAAAGAGAUGACAGCAUUGCUUCCAUGUAAAUUA
rnacentral:lncRNA from 1 species